GGGCAAGACACUGGCGUACAUACAAGAAAAAUAAAUACAAUCUUUAAAAAAAAGUAUUCUCCAUUACUCUUUAAAACAACAUGAUAGCCGAUUGAAGAAGGGAGAAACUGAGACAGAAAACCAUUUUCUUGUAAGAGGACCUAGCUGGGUUUUGAGUCUUUGUGGUCCAUUAAAGUCAGAAGAUCCUUAGUGAUCACUAUUCCAUUUGGAUUUUCUGAUUUAACUGGCAUGGAGUAUAUAACCUGGGCACCACAUAUGUAAGUAAAUGGUGGUCCUCCGUGAGUCUUUUAUGCGGAAUAAUUUGGAGAGCUUUGCCUUCGGUGGCUGAGAGCUCUCUUCUCCACGUUUCUCAUAGUGUCCUGCCCGUAGUGCACAGUAUGUGUUUCUGCUGAAGCUUAUCUUCAGAUGCUUUUCUG
rnacentral:lncRNA from 1 species